CAAGAGAAAAGAGACUCUUUUUCACUAAUCUCCAAAAUUAGUAUUUUAAUUAAACUACCU
rnacentral:tRNA from 1 species